UACGAGGGGUCCUAGCGUUGUUCGGAAUCAUUGGGCGUAAAGCGUCUGUAGGCGGCUUUGUAAGUCAGGUGUGAAAGCCCCGGGCUCAACCCGGGAAGUGCAUUUGAUACUGCAUAGCUUGAAUGUUGGAGAGGAUAGUAGAAUUCCAGGUGUAGCGGUGAAAUGCGUAGAUAUCUGGAGGAACACCGGUGGCGAAGGCGGCAUCCUGGACCGGCAUUGACGCUGAGGCGCGAAAGCCAGGGGAGCAAACGGG
rnacentral:rRNA from 1 species